CCUCUUCCUGGGGCCUGGAGCCCUGGUUGCCAUCAGCCAUGGCUCCCAAAAAGAGUGUGAGCAAGGCAGGCAAGGAGCUUGAAGUCAAGAAGAAGAAGAAAGGCGGCAAGAAGGAGCCAGUGGUGGCCGUGGAGCCGCCUCUGGACAAGGAGACGAAGGAGUUCUACCACAUCCAGAUCCGAGACCUGGAGGACCGGCUGGCCCGGUACCAGCGGAAGUGGGAUGAGCUGGCUGUGCAGGAGAAGCUGUUCCGCCAGGAGUUCGAGCAGCUGGCCAAUAACAAGAAGGAGAUUGUGGCCUUCCUCAAGCGCACGCUCAACCAGCAGGUGGAUGAGAUCACAGACCUCAACGAGCAGCUCCAGAACUUGCAGCUAGCCAAGGAGAUGGAGAAGGAUGCCUUCGAGGCGCAGCUAGCCCAGGUGCGCCACGAGUUCCAGGAGACCAAGGACCAGCUCACCACGGAGAACAUCAUCCUUGGGGGGAAGCUGGCAGCCCUGGAGGAGUUCCGGCUGCAGAAAGAGGAGGUCACGGACAAGUUUACGUUGCUGGAGGAGCAGGUGCGGAAGCAGGAGAAUGAGUUCAGGGACUAUGCGUACAACCUGGAGAAGAAGUCGGUGCUGGACAAGGACAGACUGAGGAAAGAGAUCAUCCAACGCGUGAACCUCGUGGCCAGUGAGUUCCACAAGGUGACCACGAACCGGAUGUGGGAGACAACGAAGCGGGCCAUCAAAGAGAACAACGGCAUUACCCUGCAGAUGGCCAAGGUCUCCCAGCAAGGCAUGAAGCUGCUGCAGGAGAAUGAGCAGCUCAAGGGAAGCCAGAGCAAUCUGUGCAAACAGCUGGAGCUGCUGGAGAACACCCAGAAAGUCAUGGCCAGGCACAAAAGAGGCCACCAGAAGAUUAUACUCAUGCUGGCCAAGAAAUGCCAGGAGCAGCAGCAGGACACCAAGGAGGCCAAGGAGCUGCGCCUCCUGCUGAGCCAGUUGGAGCAGAGAUCCCUGCAGCUGCAGGUGGACAACCAGGCACUGAAGAGCCAGAGAGACCAGCUGAGCUUGCAGCUGGGGCAGCAGCAGGGGGAUUUGCAGCGGCUACAGCAGGAACUGGCUAAUGAGCAGAAGGUUCGGGCCAGCCUGGAGGCGGCCCUGGUCCAGGCCACCUCCUUCCUCCAGAACAUACUGCAGACAGGGAAAACUUCGUGGAAACGGGCAAUGAGGUUGGAGGUUCCUGGAGGAGGGUGGGUACUGGGGCCACUGUGGGCCUGCUGCCACCCCACCCUCACCAACAGAUGCACCCCAAUGAAGAGGACAACGACUUCGACGUGACAUUCCAGCCAUGGCACAAGGAGAUGCUGCAGCAACUGCUGGUCAUGCUCAGCUCCACUGUGGUCCCGAGACCCCAGAAGGCUGUCUGUCCCCACCCGGAGUCACAGUCCCAUAGCCCACCCAAGGAGAGCCGGCCCAGCAUCCAGCUGCCCAGGACUGGGUCUCUGCUGCCGCAGCUCUCUGACAUCACCCACUACCAGCCGGGGGAUCUAGGCCUGGUACCUCGCCAGGCCCACAUCCCACCCAACCCCCAGGACCUCAGGCUGCUGUCAUCUAUCACCCGUGUGGGGACCUUCCGGGCACACAGCAGCCCUGAGAUGCGUGCCCCUGCUUCUCUAAAAAGGCUCAAAACGUUUAGUCUUCCUGAAGUUCUCCUACCUUCCAAAUAGGACACAGAGAGAAGAACCUACUUCAGAAAUGGACUGGUCCAGUCACAGUCACCCCCACUUUAAUCCGCAGGCAGCCUGCAACAGUCUACAGGACAGUUGUAUAAAAAGUAGAUACCAAGGCUGGCAUGGCAGCUCUGUGGCCCUGGCUGGGUUGGUGGGUACUACAGUCAGGCGGGCAGCCAUGGCCACUGGUGUCACGGCCCCAAUGAGGGCCCCUGGCUUCGCUCACGAAUGUGGUCCAAGAUCAGGUCGGUGGCUCGAUCCAGCAACAGAGGCAGCAGCUCCUGCUCAGCAGGGGAGAAGCAGCCCAGCACAUGGGCCUGUACCGCCUCAGGGUGUGUCGGGCGCCCGAUGCCCACCCGCAGCCUUGGCAUUGCCUGUGGGAGAGCCAGAGAGGCCCAGGAAGCUUUGGCGAGGUGCUGGGGGACCCCUGGCCCACCCAACCCAGUUGCACAACAAAAGGGUAGACUCACAUUGGAGUUGAGGCAGCUAAUGCAGGAACGGACUCCAUUGUGGCCC